rnacentral:rRNA from 1 species
CGAAUGCUGACAUAAGUAACGAUAAAGCGGGUGAAAAGCCCGCUCGCCGGAAGACCAAGGGUUCCUGUCCAACGUUAAUCGGGGCAGGGUGAGUCGACCCCUAAGGCGAGGCCGAAAGGCGUAGUCGAUGGGAAACAGGUUAAUAUUCCUGUACUUGGUGUUACUGCGAAGGGGGGACGGAGAAGGCUAUGUUGGCCGGGCGACGGUUGUCCCGGUUUAAGCGUGUAGGCUGGUUUUCCAGGCAAAUCCGGAAAAUCAAGGCUGAGGCGUGAUGACGAGGCACUACGGUGCUGAAGCAACAAAUGCCCUGCUUCCAGGAAAAGCCUCUAAGCAUCAGGUAACAUCAAAUCGUACCCCAAACCGACACAGGUGGUCAGGUAGAGAAUACCAAGGCGCUUGAGAGAACUCGGGUGAAGGAACUAGGCAAAAUGGUGCCGUAACUUCGGGAGAAGGCACGCUGAUAUGUAGGUGAAGCGACUUGCUCGUGGAGCUGAAAUCAGUCGAAGAUACCAGCUGGCUGCAACUGUUUAUUAAAAACACAGCACUGUGCAAACACGAAAGUGGACGUAUACGGUGUGACGCCUGCCCGGUGCCGGAAGGUUAAUUGAUGGGGUCAGCGCAAGCGAAGCUCUUGAUCGAAGCCCCGGUAAACGGCGGCCGUAA